rnacentral:lncRNA from 1 species
GUUAUAGGUAUUAUUUAGUAUAACAUAAGUAGCAGUUGUAAUUUGACUCAUAUCUUUCUCAUUAUAGGUCCAGUUUUUAUCCAUAGAACUAUGUACAUGCCUCUAGGAUGGAGUAGAGAAUGGAAGGAGUAGGCAGUUUAUUUGGACUCAUGGAGGUAGAAGAUGGAAUACUGUGCCUUUUGCCUCACAAUACCCCAGAGGAACGAUUAGAGCAUGAUAACAACCAACUUCCUGCUGUGCUGUAUUGCUUUCAUACACUAAUUACAAGAGAAGCGGCAAGAUCUGUUUUUCCUCAAACUUUGCACAUCAAGAAAAAAAUUAGAUUCACCAUUUUAUAGUCUUUGCUAUAGGAGGGAGGAAUGAAGGAGAAGCUUAGAAAGAGAAUCAAAGGAAAUGCUAAAAGAAGAGAGACUAUUCAAGUGGUUUGCUAUCUCUUAUUUUUUAAAGAAGCUGAGUUCAGAAUAGGGCAGGGGUAAUGAAUGUUGUUAUUUUGGGGAGUAAGGAUAAACAAUUAAAAAUUCACAAGCA